rnacentral:rRNA from 1 species
CCGAACGGUGGAUCACUCGGCUCGCGGAU